rnacentral:rRNA from 1 species
GGUGGGGGUGUUAUACCCGAUCCCUUUCCGAACUCGGAAGUCAAGCCCCCUUACGCCGAUGAUACUGCCGCCCGGAGCGGCGGGAAAGUAGGUUGUCGCCAGGC